UACGUAGGGGGCUAGCGUUGUCCGGAAUCAUUGGGCGUAAAGCGCGUGUAGGCGGCCCGGUAAGUCCGCUGUGAAAGUCGGGGGCUCAACCCUCGAAUGCCGGUGGAUACUGUCGGGCUCGAGUACGGGAGAGGCGAGUGGAAUUCCUGGUGUAGCGGUGAAAUGCGCAGAUAUCAGGAGGAACACCAAUGGCGAAGGCAGCACUCUGGGACGUGACUGACGCUGAGACGCGAAAGCGUGGGGAGCAAACAGG
rnacentral:rRNA from 1 species